rnacentral:rRNA from 1 species
CUGGAGGACCGAACCGACUAAUGUUGAAAAAUUAGCGGAUGACUUGUGGCUGGGGGUGAAAGGCCAAUCAAACCGGGAGAUAGCUGGUUCUCCCCGAAAGCUAUUUAGGUAGCGCCUCGUGAAUUCAUCUUCGGGGGUAGAGCACUGUUUCGGCUAGGGGGUCAUCCCGACUUACCAACCCGAUGCAAACUACGAAUACCGAAGAAUGUUAUCACGGGAGACACACGGCGGGUGCUAACGUCCGUCGUGAAGAGGGAAACAACCCAGACCGCCAGCUAAGGUCCCAAAGUCAUGGUUAAGUGGGAAACGAUGUGGGAAGGCACAGACAGCCAGGAUGUUGGCUUAGAAGCAGCCAUCAUUUAAAGAAAGCGUAAUAGCUCACUGGUCGAGUCGGCCUGCGCGGAAGAUGUAACGGGGCUAAACCAUGCACCGAAGCUGCGGCAGCGACACUAUGUGUUGUUGGGUAGGGGAGCGUUCUGUAAGCCUGCGAAGGUGACCUGUGAGGGUUGCUGGAGGUAUCAGAAGUGCGAAUGCUGACAUAAGUAACGAUAAAGCGGGUGAAAAGCCCGCUCGCCGGAAGACCAAGGGUUCCUGUCCAACGUUAAUCGGGGCAGGGUGAGUCGACCCCUAAGGCGAGGCCGAAAGGCGUAGUCGAUGGGAAACAGGUUAAUAUUCCUGUACUUGGUGUUACUGCGAAGGGGGGACGGAGAAGGCUAUGUUAGCCGGGCGACGGUUGUCCCGGUUUAAGCAUGUAGGCUGGUUGUCCAGGCAAAUCCGGAUAAUCAAGGCUGAGGUGUGAUGACGAGGCACUACGGUGCUGAAGUAACAAAUGCCCUGCUUCCAGGAAAAGCCUCUAAGCAUCAGGUAACAUUAAAUCGUACCCCAAACCGACACAGGUGGUCAGGUAGAGAAUACCAAGGCGCUUGAGAGAACUCGGGUGAAGGAACUAGGCAAAAUGGUGCCGUAACUUCGGGAGAAGGCACGCUGGUGUGUAGGUGAAGUCCCUGCGGAUGGAGCUGAGACCAGUCGAAGAUACCAGCUGGCUGCAACUGUUUAUUAAAAACACAGCACUGUGCAAACACGAAAGUGGACGUAUACGGUGUGACGCCUGCCCGGUGCCGGAAGGUUAAUUGAUGGGGUUAUCCGUAAGGAGAAGCUCUUGAUCGAAGCCCCGGUAAACGGCGGCCGUAACUAUAACGGUCCUAAGGUAGCGAAAUUCCUUGUCGGGUAAGUUCCGACCUGCACGAAUGGCGUAAUGAUGGCCAGGCUGUCUCCACCCGAGACUCAGUGAAAUUGAACUCGCUGUGAAGAUGCAGUGUACCCGCGGCAAGACGGAAAGACCCCGUGAACCUUUACUAUAGCUUGACACUGAACAUUGAGCCUUGAUGUGUAGGAUAGGUGGGAGGCUUUGAAGCGUGGACGCCAGUCUGCGUGGAGCCAACCUUGAAAUACCACCCUUUAAUGUUUGAUGUUCUAACGUUGGCCCCUUACCGGGGUUGCGGACAGUGUCUGGUGGGUAGUUUGACUGGGGCGGUCUCCUCCCAAAGCGUAACGGAGGAGCACGAAGGUUAGCUAAUCCUGGUCGGACAUCAGGAGGUUAGUGCAAUGGCAUAAGCUAGCUUGACUGCGAGCGUGACGGCGCGAGCAGGUGCGAAAGCAGGUCAUAGUGAUCCGGUGGUUCUGAAUGGAAGGGCCAUCGCUCAACGGAUAAAAGGUACUCCGGGGAUAACAGGCUGAUACCGCCCAAGAGUUCAUAUCGACGGCGGUGUUUGGCACCUCGAUGUCGGCUCAUCACAUCCUGGGGCUGAAGUAGGUCCCAAGGGUAUGGCUGUUCGCCAUUUAAAGUGGUACGCGAGCUGGGUUUAGAACGUCGUGAGACAGUUCGGUCCCUAUCUGCCGUGGGCGCUGGAGAAUUGAGGGGGGCUGCUCCUAGUACGAGAGGACCGGAGUGGACGCAUCACUGGUGUUCGGGUUGUCAUGCCAAUGGCACUGCCCGGUAGCUAAAUGCGGAAGAGAUAAGUGCUGAAAGCAUCUAAGCACGAAACUUGCCCCGAGAUGAGUUCUCCCUGAGACUUUAAGUCUCCUGAAGGAACGUUAAAGACGAUGACGUUGAUAGGCCGGGUGUGUAAGCGCAGCGAUGCGUUGAGCUAACCGGUACUAAUGAACCGUGAGGCUUAACCUU